ACAGCCGCUGUUCUCCCCCUUUCAACAGACACUGUGAGGGUCUGUUACUUAUUAUCUCUAGAAGAAAGGACACAGGUCUGCACAGGCAACUCGAGCCGGUAUCAGUUCUGGGAUCAGAGAGGAUGAGAGCCUCUGUGUGGACCGUGUGGAGCCACCAAGACUGAGUUCCUGAAACCCAUUAGCAAAAUGCUCGUUUUGUCCUGAGUGACGAGGAUUCAGUGGAAGAGAGUGACUGACAUCGAGGGUAGGACGAAGAUCCGUCUGGGCCAUGACAGAAAGUAUCUUCAAGUCAUUUCCAUUCAACAAAUAACAAAUUCAUCAAAUGAAACAGCAUCUUGUUGACAGAUGAGAGAGAAGUUGCUGUCCACCCAGCCCCCAAGGUGGAGGAACCAUGGCUCUCGCUUGCCGUCACCCUGCCGUGUCCGCAGAACAAGAGGAUGGUGUAACUUCUGAGGCUGGAAGCCACUGAGAUUCGUGAGGUCACUAGUUACCACGGCACGUUCUACCUCACACUGAUGAUUCAGUGACUCCACUUUUACAUAAAAAUAAACACAUAA